GGGCGGUUAGCUCAGUUGGUUAGAGCACUUGCUUUACACGCAAGGGGUCACAGGUUCGAGUCCUGUACCGCCCACCA
rnacentral:tRNA from 1 species